AGUGAACGCUGGCGGUAGGCCUAACACAUGCAAGUCGAACGGCAGCACAGUAAGAGCUUGCUCUUACGGGUUGCGAGUGGCGGACGGGUGAGGAAUACAUCGGAAUCUACUUUUUCGUGGGGGAUAACGUAGGGAAACUUACGCUAAUACCGCAUACGACCUACGGGUGAAAGCAGGGGAUCUUCGGACCUUGCGCGAUUGAAUGAGCCGAUGUCGGAUUAGCUAGUUGGCGGGGUAAAGGCCCACCAAGGCGACGAUCCGUAGCUGGUCUGAGAGGAUGAUAAGCCACACUGGAACUGAGACACGGUCAAGACGCCUAAGGGAGGCAGCAGUGGGGAAUAGUGGACAAAGGGCGCAAGCAUGAUCCAGCCAUACCGCGUGGGUGAAGAAGGCCUUCGGGUUGUAAAGCCCGUUUGUUGGGAAAGAAAUCCAGCCGGCUAAUACCUGGUUGGGAUGACGGUACCCAAAGAAUAAGCACCGGCUAACUUCGUG
rnacentral:rRNA from 1 species